rnacentral:rRNA from 1 species
UACAGAGGGUGCGAGCGUUAAUCGGAAUUACUGGGCGUAAAGCGUGCGUAGACGGUUAUUUAAGUCGGGUGUGAAAGCCCCGGGCUCAACCUGGGAAUUGCAUUCGAGACUGAAUAGCUAGGGUACGGUAGAGGGAAGCGGAAUUUCCGGUGUAGCGGUGAAAUGCGUAGAUAUCGGGAGGAACACCAGUGGCGAAGGCGGCUACCUGGACCAGCACUGACACUGAGGCACGAAAGCGUGGGGAGCAAACAGG